rnacentral:misc_RNA from 1 species
CAACCCUCAAGCUCUGCUUGGUGUUGGGGCCCUACGGCUGCCGUAGGCCCUGAAAAGAAGUGGCGGGCUCGCUACAACUCCGAGCGUAGUAAUUCUUUAUCUCGCUAGGGAAGUGUAGUGUGCUCCUGCCGUUAAAGACCCCAUCUUUAACAA